rnacentral:rRNA from 1 species
GUGAGGAAUAUUGCGCAAUGGAGGCAACUCUGACGCAGCCAUGCCGCGUGCAGGAAGAAGGCGCUACGCGUUGUAAACUGCUUUUAACCGGGAAGAAACCCCAGGACGUGUCCUGGGUUGACGGUACCGGAGGAAUAAGCACCGGCUAACUUCGUGCCAGCAGCCGCGGUAAUACGAAGGGUGCAAGCGUUAUCCGGAUUCAUUGGGUUUAAAGGGUGCGUAGGCGGAGCGUUAAGUCAGUGGUGAAAUCCUGCAGCUUAACUGUAGACUUGCCAUUGAUACUGGCGCUCUUGAGUACGCUUGAAGUGGGCGGAAUGUGCCGUGUAGCGGUGAAAUGCUUAGAUAUGGCACAGAACACCAAUUGCGAAGGCAGCUCACUAAGGCGAUACUGACGCUGAGGCACGAAAGCGUGGGGAUCGAACAGGAUUAGAAACCCCGGUAGUCC